UACAGAGGGUGCGAGCGUUGUCCGGAUUUACUGGGCGUAAAGAGCGCGUAGGCGGCUCGUUAAGUGAGAAGUGAAAGCUGUGGGCUCAACCCACAAACCGCUUUUCAUACUGGCGAGCUGGAGUGAUGCAGAGGUGGAUAGAAUUCCCGGUGUAGCGGUGAAAUGCGUUGAUAUCGGGAGGAAUACCCGUGGCGAAGGCGGUCCACUGGGCAUCAACUGACGCUGAGGCGCGAAAGCGUGGGUAGCAAACAGG
rnacentral:rRNA from 1 species